rnacentral:rRNA from 1 species
GGACCCGCACAAGUAGUGGAGCAUGUGGUUUAAUUCGAAGAUACGCGCAGAACCUUACCAACACUUGACAUGUUCGUCGCGACUUUAAGAGAUUAAAGUUUUCGGUUCGGCCGGACGAAACACAGGUGCUGCAUGGCUGUCGUCAGCUCGUGUCGUGAGAUGUUGGUUAAGUCCCGCAACGAGCGCAACCCUCACUUUUAGUUGCCAUCAUUAAGUUGGGCACUCUGAAAGAACUGCCAGUGAUAAGCUGGAGGAAGGUGGGGAUGACGUCAAGUCCUCAUGGCCCUUACGUGUUGGGCUACACACGUGCUACAAUGGUAUCUACAACAGGAAGCAAGACUGCGAAGUUAAGCAAA